GUUAAAAAGCUCGUAGUUGGAGUUCUGCCAGGUGCCGCCUGUCCGCCCCAGUGGUGAGUACGUGGCGCGCAUUUGGCCCUUUCAAGGGGAGCGUAUUGCACUUAACUGUGUGGUGCGGGAUCCUUGACUUUUACUUUGAGGAAAUAAGAGUGUUCCAAGCAGGCUCUCGUCGUGCAUAGCUCAGCAUGGAAUAAUAGCAUUGGAUCUCGAUUCCAAACUGUUGGUUGUAGGAAACGAGAUAAUGAUGAAGAGGGAUAGUUGGGGGCAUUCGUAUUUAACUGUCAGAGGUGAAAUUCUUGGAUUUGUUAAAGACGAACUACUGCGAAAGCAUCUGCCAUGGAUGUUUUCAUUGAUCAAGAACGAAAGUUAGGGGAUCGAAGACGAUCAGAUACCGUCCUAGUCUUAACUAUAAACCAUGCCGGCUAGAGAUCGGAGGUUGUUCGUUUUGUGACGCCUUCAGCAUCUUGAGAGAAAUCAAAGCCUUUGGGUUCCGGGGGGAGUAUGGUCGCAAGGCUGAAACUUAAAGGAAUUGACGGAAGGGCACCACCAGGAGUGGAGCCUGCGGCUUAAUUUGACUCAACACGGGGAAACUCACCAGGUCCAGACUGGGUAAGGAUGUACAGAUUGACAGCUCUUUACAGAUUCUCAGGGUGGUGGUGCAUGGCCGUUCUUAGUUGGUGGAGUGAUUUGUCUGGUUAAUUCCGUUAACGA
rnacentral:rRNA from 1 species